GACGAACGCUGGCGGCGUGCCUAAUACAUGCAAGUAGAACGCUGAAGGAGGAGCUUGCUUCUCUGGAUGAGUUGCGAACGGGUGAGUAACGCGUAGGUAACCUGCCUGGUAGCGGGGGAUAACUAUUGGAAACGAUAGCUAAUACCGCAUAAUAGCAGUUGUUGCAUGACAACUGUUUGAAAGGUGCAAUUGCACCACUACCAGAUGGACCUGCGUUGUAUUAGCUAGUUGGUGGGGUAACGGCUCACCAAGGCGACGACACAUAGCCGACCUGAGAGGGGGGUCGGCCACCCUGGGACUGGGACACCGCCCAGACCUCUACGGGAGGCAGCAGUAGGGAAUCUUCGGCAAUGGACGGAAGUCUGACCGGGCAACGCCGCGUGAGUGAAGAAGGUUUUCGGAUCGUAAAGCUCUGUUGUAAGAGAAGAACGAGUGUGAGAGUGGAAAGUUCACACUGUGACGGUAUCUUACCAGAAAGGGACGGCUAACUACGUG
rnacentral:rRNA from 1 species